UACGGAGGGUGCAAGCGUUAUCCGGAUUCACUGGGGUUAAAGGGUGCGUAGGCGGGCAGGUAAGUCAGUGGUGAAAUCUUUGGGCUUAACCCGAAAACUGCCAUUGAUACUAUCUGUCUUGAAUAUUGUGGAGGUUUGCGGAAUAUGUCAUGUAGCGGUGAAAUGCUUAGAUAUGACAUAGAACACCUAUUGCGAAGGCAGCAAACUACGCAUAUAUUGACGCUGAGGCACGAAAGCGUGGGGAUCAAACAGG
rnacentral:rRNA from 1 species